AACGAACGCUGGCGGCAUGCCUAACACAUGCAAGUCGAACGAGACCUUCGGGUCUAGUGGCGCACGGGUGCGUAACGCGUGGGAAUCUGCCCUUGGGUUCGGAAUAACAGUGAGAAAUUACUGCUAAUACCGGAUGAUGUCUUCGGACCAAAGAUUUAUCGCCCAGGGAUGAGCCCGCGUAGGAUUAGGUAGUUGGUGGGGUAAUGGCCUACCAAGCCGACGAUCCUUAGCUGGUCUGAGAGGAUGAUCAGCCACACUGGGACUGAGACACGGCCCAGACUCCUACGGGAGGCAGCAGUGGUGAAUAUUGGACAAUGGGCGAAAGCCUGAUCCAGCAAUGCCGCGUGAGUGAUGAAGGCCUCAGGGUUGUAAAGCUCUUUUACCAGGGAUGAUAAUGACAGUACCUGGAGAAUAAGCUCCGGCUAACUCCGUGCCAGCCGCCGCCGUAACAC
rnacentral:rRNA from 1 species